rnacentral:rRNA from 1 species
UUGUUCCUUAAUUGCGGACUAGUAUGAAUGGCAUCACGAGGNUUAUACGUCUCCUUUUUCUAAUCAAUGAAACUAAUCUCCCCGUGAAGAAGCGGGGAUAAGAAUAUAAGACGAGAAGACCCUAUGGAGCUUUAAACAACGUAGCAAUAAUCACAAAAUAUUUACUUUUUUUCCGAAUUUUCAAACACUUAAUUAUAUGACUACAAGUUUUUGGUUGGGGUGACCACGGAGCAUAGCACAACCUCCAUGUUGAAAUGACUUUAAGCCAAGAAUAACCAAUCUAAGCAUCAGCAUACUGACAUCCAUUGACCCAAUACAUUUGAUCAACGAACCAAGUUACCCUAGGGAUAACAGCGCAAUCCACUUCAAGAGCUCCUAUCGACAAGUGGGUUUACGACCUCGAUGUUGGAUCAGGGUACCCCAGUGGUGCAGCCGCUACUAAAGGUUCGUUUGUUCAACGAUUAAAACCCUACGUGAUCUGAGUUCAAACCGG